rnacentral:tRNA from 1 species
GGGGUCGUGGCUCAGUGGUAGAGUGCUCGUCUAGCACGUGUGAGGCACUGGGUUUGAUCCUCAGCACCACA